rnacentral:lncRNA from 1 species
AACGCCGCGGGGUGGGGGGCCACGUGCUUCCGGCGUGACCUACCGACCGGAAGUGGCCUGAGUCGGGUGGGAUAGGGUGGCGCCGCUAGGCCGGGAGGGCGGAGGCCCUGAGCCCCAGCCUCCCACCUCGGGGCCACAUUGGGAACCUUAUCAACAGCAUCGACACCUCCUCUGAUGGCCCCAGCCACAAUCUCUUCCACUUCCAGCUACUUGAGUCACUUCUGCCACCUCUGGGUGCCAUGAAAGCAAGGACUACCUCUGCUUUUUCAGACAGCUGUCUCCUCCGAGACCAUCACAGUGCCCGGCUCAUGGUAGGUGCUCAGUCAAAAGUGUGAAAUGAAUGAAUGGACCUAGAUUUGUGUCCUGGGUCUAUCAUUUUCCAGCUGCCUAAGUUUGGGAAAUUGGCCUCUCGGAAUCUCAUUCCCUUCCCUACAAAAGGG